rnacentral:rRNA from 1 species
CAGUCGCCGCGGGAAUACGUAGGGUGCAAGCGUUAAUCGGAAUUACUGGGCGUAAAGCGUGCGCAGGCGGUUUGUUAAGACAGAUGUGAAAUCCCCGGGCUCAACCUGGGAACUGCAUUUGUGACUGGCAAGCUAGGGUGUGGCAGAGGGGGGUGGAAUUCCACGUGUAGCAGUGAAAUGCGUAGAUAUGUGGAGGAAUACCGAUGGCGAAGGCAGCCCCCUGGGAUAACACUGACGCUCAUGCACGAAAGCGUGGGGAGCAAACAGGAUUAGAUACCCCAGUAUCCCUGUCUCUUAUACA